CGUGGCGUGGGUCUGAGUGCUGCAGCAGUCAGGAAAGGCUCUUGCUGCUGGAGUUGUGGGAUGAGCUCUGUGCUGUGCGUUUGGAUCCAGCCUUCGGAGGACCUCAGGAACAUUACAGGCAUCUGACCUCUUUUGUCAGCUGACAAACAGUGUGUAAAAACUUCCAGCUGCUGUGCUCAGCCUGAACUACAAUUAGCAUAGGGUAAU
rnacentral:lncRNA from 1 species